CCUACGGGAGGCUGCAGUGGGGAAUAUUGGACAAUGGGGGGAACCCUGAUCCAGCCAUGCCGCGUGUGUGAAGAAGGCCCUCGGGUUGUAAAGCACUUUCAGUGAGGAAGAACGCCUGGUGGUUAAUACCCAUCAGGAAAGACAUCACUCACAGAAGAAGCACCGGCUAACUCCGUGCCAGCAGCCGCGGUAAUACGGAGGGUGCGAGCGUUAAUCGGAAUUACUGGGCGUAAAGCGCGCGUAGGUGGCUUGAUAAGCCGGUUGUGAAAGCCCCGGGCUCAACCUGGGAACGGCAUCCGGAACUGUCAAGCUAGAGUGCAGGAGAGGAAGGUAGAAUUCCCGGUGUAGCGGUGAAAUGCGUAGAGAUCGGGAGGAAUACCAGUGGCGAAGGCGGCCUUCUGGACUGACACUGACACUGAGGUGCGAAAGCGUGGGUAGCAAACAGGAUUGGAUACCCGUGUAGUC
rnacentral:rRNA from 1 species